GGCUCUUUGAUUAAUUAUAAUAAAGAGUCGGACCUGCCCAGUGAAUUUUUUUAACGGCCGCGGUACUCUGACCGUGCAAAGGUAGCAUAAUCAUUUGCCUUAUAAUUGAAGGCUUGUAUGAAUGGUUUGACAAGAGUAUGACUGUCUCAACUUGAUUAAAUAGAAUUUUAUUUUGAAGUGAAGAAGCUUGAAUAAUAUUAAUAGACAAGAAGACCCUAUCGAGCUUAAAUUAAGAUUAUAAAAGUUAUAUAAUAUAUAUUAAAAAAUUGUUUAUUAUAAAUUUUGGUUGGGGCGACUUAGGAACAGAUAAAGCUUCCUAAUAAACAAAAAUUUACAAAGUGAUCCAGGAUUUUCUGAUUAAUGAAAUUAGUUACCGUAGGGAUAACAGCAUUAUCUUCUUUGAGAGUUCUUAUCGAAAAGGGGGUUUGUGACCUCGAUGUUGGACCAGAAUAUCCUAAAGAUGUAGCAGUCUUUAAGGGUUGGUCUGUUCGACCAUUAAAAUUCUACG
rnacentral:rRNA from 1 species